GACGAACGCUGGCGGCGUGCCUAACACAUGCAAGUCGAACGGGACCAGGGGCAACUCUGGUUCAGUGGCGGACGGGUGCGUAACACGUGAGGAACAUGACCCUUGGCGGGGGAGUAGCCGGCCCAACGGCCGGGUAAGUACCGCGUACGACCACAUGGGGACAUCCCUGAGUGGUGAAAGCAGCAAUGCGCCGAUGGAGUGCCUCGCGGCCUAUCAGCUAGUUGGUGAGGUAACGGCNCACCAAGGCGACGAC
rnacentral:rRNA from 1 species